AACGAACGCUGGCGGCAUGCCUAACACAUGCAGGUCGAACGAGAUCUUCGGGUCUAGUGGCGCACGGGUGCGUAACGCGUGGGAAUCUGCCCUCUGGUUCGGAAUAACAGUUGGAAACGACUGCUAAUACCGGAUGAUGACGAAAGUCCAAAGAUUUAUCGCCAGAGGAUGAGCCCGCGUAGGAUUAGCUAGUUGGUGUGGUAAAGGCGCACCAAGGCGACGAUCCUUAGCUGGUCUGAGAGGAUGAUCAGCCACACUGGGACUGAGACACGGCCCAGACUCCUACGGGAGGCAGCAGUGGGGAAUAUUGGACAAUGGGCGAAAGCCUGAUCCAGCAAUGCCGCGUGAGUGAUGAAGGCCUUAGGGUUGUAAAGCUCUUUUACCCGGGAUGAUAAUGACAGUACCGGGAGAAUAAGCUCCGGCUAACUCCGUGCCAGCAGCCGCAGUAA
rnacentral:rRNA from 1 species